AGAACGAACGCUGGCGGCAUGCCUAACACAUGCAAGUCGAACGAAGGCUUCGGCCUUAGUGGCGCACGGGUGCGUAACGCGUGGGAAUCUGCCCCUUGGUUCGGAAUAACAGUUGGGAAACGACUGCUAAAUACCGGAUGAUGACGAAAAGUCCAAAGAUUUAUCGCCAAGGGAUGAGCCCGCGUAGGAUUAGCUAGUUGGUGAGGUAAAGGCUCACCAAGGCGACGAUCCUUAGCUGGUCUGAGAGGAUGAUCAGCCACACUGGGACUGAGACACGGCCCAGACUCCUACGGGAGGCAGCAGUUAGGGAAUAUUGGACAAUGGGCGAAAAGCCUGAUCCAG
rnacentral:rRNA from 1 species